AACCACUACACCACUACACAACAGGAAAACCUAUAGGGGAAAGGUCUGCACCACAGCAGAACCUGAGACGGAGCUGCAUUUCCUGACAAAAUGUCAAAAAUAUAAAACAAAUAGAGAGUGUCAUUUCCCCAAAUGUAAAACCUUAUUCAAGAUUUCAAAGACCUCUCUGAUGAGGACAGGCUACCCGUCCUGUUGGGGGAGGACACAGAGAGCUGUGGGUUGGCAGCACACUACAUUGCUGCCAGCCAAUAGAUGAGGGACAGUGUCUGACAGACCAAUCAACCUGUUUAAAGUUAUUGUUCAAUGUAUUGUUGAUUAUUGUUGUUACUGUUGACAAUAUUGAUCAUUAUUAUUAUUAAUUAUGUUAAUAUUGUAAAUCUCCAAAGUAAGCUUUGGCAAUAUGUACAUUCUUACAUCAUGCCAAUAACGCAAAUGGAAUUGACUUGAACAAUUGAAAGAGAGAGAGAGACAGAGAGAGAGACUACACUGGAAAGACAGACAUACUAGACAGACAGACUACGCUUGACAGCCCAGUAAAUGUGUCUGUCUGUCCAGUAUAGUCUGUCUCUCUGUACAUCCCAGUCUGUCUGUCUGUCCAGCACAGUAUAUACAAUGGGGAGAACAAGUAUUUGAUACACUGCCGAUUUUGCAGGUUUUCCUACUUACAAAGCAUGUAGAGGUCUGUAAUUUUUUAUCAUAGGUACACUUCAACUGUGAGAGAUGGAAUCUAAAACAAAAAUCCAGAAAAUCACAUUGUAUGAUUUUUAAGUAAUUAAUUUGCAUUAAUUAUGAUGAUCAUUGAUGCCCCACCGAGGUGAGAUCUUGCAUGGAGCCCCAGACUGAGGGUGAUUGACCCUCAUCUUGAACUUCAUCCAUUUUCCAAUAAUUGCUCCAACAGUUGUUGCCUUCUCACCAAGCUGCUUGCCUAUUGUCCUGUAGCCCAUCCCAGCCUUGUGCAGGUCUACAAUUUUAUCCCUGAUGUCCUUACACAGCUCUCUGGUCUUGGCCAUUGUGGAGAGGUUGGAGUCUGUUUGAUUGAGUGUGUGGACAUGUGUCUUUUAUACAGGUAACUAGUUCAAACAGGUGCAGUUAAUACAGGUAAUGAGUGGAGAACAGGAGGGCUUCUUAAAGAAAAACUAACAGGUCUGUGAGAGCCGGAAUUCUUACUGGUUGGUAGGUGAUCAAAUCCUUAUGUCAUGCAAUAAAAUGCUUUGUAAGUAGGAAAACCUGCAAAAACGGCAGUGUAUCAAAUACAUGUUCUCCCCACUGUAUGUCUAGUGUAUGUAGUCUGUCUGUCCAGUCUAUAUGUCUAGUGUAGUCUGUCUGUCCAG
ensembl:lncRNA